rnacentral:rRNA from 1 species
GUGAGUCAUCGAGUCUUUGAACGCACCUUGCGCUCCUUGGUAUUCCGAGGAGCAUGCCUGUUUGAGUGUCAUGAAAUUCUCAACCUUUCCGGCUUUUUCAAAAGCUAGUUGGGCUUGGAUUAUGGAAGUUGCUGGUUCUUAAAAAUCUAAGCUCUUCUCAAAUAUUAUUAAGCAGUCCUUUUGCUGACCGAUCAUUGGUAUGAUAAUUAUCUAUACCACUGAGAAACAGCCUCCCUAGUGGAGAGGUUCGGCUUCUAAUCGUCCUUACAAGACAAUUUGACAACUUUGGCCUCAAAUCAGGUAGGACUACCCGCUGAACUUAAGCAUAUCAAUAAGCGGAGG